GUAAGGAACACUUCAGAACUAUUCAGGAUUAUCAGUCUGGUAAAAGUAUGAGCUUCUGUGUUGCUGCCCAACGUACACAUGGAUUUGAUGCAGCCAGCUGAGGGCUUUAACUCUUGUUUAGUGUCUUAUGUUCGCGUAGUUGCUGUCCGAUGUGGCACGUUGUGAAGCCUAUGCUGGUGAAAGAUCUUUCUACAUCAAGUUCAAUUGGCCGUUUCCAGGUGCUGGUGUUGUGUUACCGAAGUUGCAUCAUAUUUUUUAAAGUGUCAUCGUGACUAUUGCAGUUUACUGUUUUUAAGUUCAGAAGCAACAAAAACAAAUAUGGGAUGUUGAUGUCAAACAAAUAAUAAAAAUGUUUCCGGGAUUGGGAAAGGAAAGUGGUGGAUGUUGGAGGGGGGAGGGAGGAUAUUUCAAGUUUAGAUAAAAAUUCAGUGAAUCUAUAACCCUGCAAACGUAUUCCUACCAAUUAAUCUCCAAACCCUACAAACAUAUACCUUCCAAUUCUUCAAACCCCGAAAACACACACCUACCAACCCUUAAAUCUAUACCCUAA